rnacentral:rRNA from 1 species
GAUGAACGCUGGCGGCGUGCCUAAUACAUGCAAGUCGAGCGAACAGAUGAGGAGCUUGCUCCUCUGACGUUAGCGGCGGACGGGUGAGUAACACGUGGAUAACCUACCUAUAAGACUGGGAUAACUUCGGGAAACCGGAGCUAAUACCGGAUAAUAUAUUGAACCGCAUGGUUCAAUAGUGAAAGACGGUUUUGCUGUCACUUAUAGAUGGAUCCGCGCCGCAUUAGCUAGUUGGUAAGGUAACGGCUUACCAAGGCAACGAUGCGUAGCCGACCUGAGAGGGUGAUCAGCCACACUGGAACUGAGACACGGUCCAGACUCCUACGGGAGGCAGGAGUAGGGAAUCUUGCACAAUGGGCGAAAGCCUGACGGAGCAACGCCGCGUGGGUGAAGAAAGUCUUCGGAUCGUAAAACACUUUUAUUAGGGAAGAACAAAAGUUAAAGUAAAUAUUCACGUCUUGACGGUACCUAAUCAAAAAGCCACGGCUAACUUCGGG